UAGGUAUUGACACAGGCCUUUUACAAGCCCA
rnacentral:piRNA from 1 species